rnacentral:lncRNA from 1 species
UAUGCUUUGACAUUUGGAUAAACAUGUUUUUUUCUUCAAUCUAAAGAUUGAGAUUUAAUAGUUGAGAUAUUAUAUCUAUUUUAACUAAGAUAUUUCAUCUGAAUCUGUCCCUAUUUAAAUAAUGUGGUCAUAAGAUAAUCAUAUAUAUAUAUUGUAUUGGGAUGGGGGGAUUGAGAUUUGGGAGAGUAUUAAAUAAUAGGAUUUCCUUUUUUUGUGCAACCUCUAGUGAGUCUCUGACAACUAGUUUAAUUUUCUAGACUUGUGUAUUCUUUUGCUCUUGUUUUAUCACCAAACUAUUAUCUGAGUAAGAGCUUCCUCACAGCAGCUGAGAAAAGAUUCAGUUGAGUUUCAUGUCUCCAUGUAGAUAUGAGAAUAAACUCUUUAAAAAAUGACUCUCUUCAACUUCAAGAUUGAACACUUUUUCCUGUCUCUGUCGGAGCUUGCUGUGCAAUCUGUUUGAUAUGGUAAUUUGUCUGUGUGAUUUGAACUUUAAAUUAAUGCCUUUGAAAAAGUUAAGAGCAAGAACGAAAAUUACACGUCUUGCUUGCUUGGGUGAGAGGCUGAUAUGUAAAUCAAAUUUAUAUUGUUUUGCCCUUUUUCUUAUAUCACAAGCCUCAAAAACAGGAACAUCGAUGUCAAUUAGUGGACCACAAUUCUCGCGAUGGUCUUCCCUGAGUGGAAACUGGAAAGUGAGUGAUUCGGUUAAUAAAGAAGUGCUGCCCAUUAUUUAAUUUAGCAUCGAUACCACUCCAUUGCAUUUAAAACUCAAAAUAACAUACUUGAGAAAGUAGUUAAAUAUGUAGAACUUGAUCUUGAAUUAAUGAUGGUUUGUUGAAUUGGUUAGCAUUUAUUUUGCUUGAGACUUGAGGAUGAUUAGAUUUCAAUGGAAAGUGGCUAAGUGAUCGUUUGGUAUCAAGUGGAUACCAGACAAUCUUUCUAUUACAGUAUCUAAUUUAUUACAAAUGUCUCUUCCCUUUUUACGUUCUACCUUUAGGAUAUUUAUACAUUUUCCUAUUGGAUCGGGUUUUUUUUCACUGGUUAAGUGAGCCUGAUCGAUGAUGGAC